UACAUAUACACACACCCACUCACGCACACACACACACACAUAUAUACACAUACAUACACAUAUACACCCCCACACACAUCCACUCACACACACACACACAAACACACACACACACACUAUAUAAACCCUGCUGAAGUCCCCCUCAGAUCAUGCUCUGCUCAGCCUCCGUUCUGAAGAAUCACUGAAGAUCUGAAAACUUCAGCACCUUCUGAGAUGGCGAGUCGGACGCUCCUGCUGCUGACCUUUGUGUCUGUAAUAAACAUCUGUCUGUGUCAGAGAGGACGGGAUCCUCCCACUGCCCGAAGCUGCAAAGAGCUCAAACAAAAACAUAAAUUCAACAAAGG